rnacentral:rRNA from 1 species
AGGUAAGCAGUGGUUGCUGACCUCCGCUUUAUAUAUUAUAUUGGUUACUUACAAUAAGUAUAUUAUUUCCGUACAAUUGUUCUC